UCUCCAGAUCCACCAAAGACACUGAUCCAACAUCUCCAGAUCCAUCAAAGAAACCAAUCCACCUCCAAAACAUCUCCAGAUCCAUUAAAACACUGAUCCAACAUCUCCAGAUCCAUCAAAGCCACCUCCAGACCUCCAGGACCACUCCCAACCCCUCCAGAUCCACCACCACCAACCUCAACCCCACCUCCAGCACCUUCCCACCCACGUCCAGGUCCAGGUCCCACCUUCUCGCCGGUCAUGGCGAAGGGCGCGUUGAACCACUGCUCGAAGGUGCUGCAGCUCUUGAAGAUGGUGGGCAGCAGGAAGUUGAGGAGCGCCCAGAGCUCGGGCAGUUUGUUCUGCAGGGGGGUCCCGGUGAGGAGAAGACGCCGCGGGGCCACGUAGUGCGUGUUGAGGACCUGGGUCAGCUUGCAGUGGUGGUUCUUCAUGCGGUGGCCUUCGUCCACGAUCAUGUACUUCCAACGGAUCUGAGGAGGACAGGAGAAAGGGAGAUGGUCGUCUCCGGGUGGGACGUGGAGAUGAAGAUCUCAGGUGAGAAAUGGAUGGAGGACAGGAGAAAUGGAGAUGGUCGUCUCCAGGUGGGACAUGGAGAAGAACAUCUCAGGUGGGAAAUGGAUGGAGGACAGGAGAAAUGGAGAAGAAGAUCUCAGGUGGGAAAUGGAGAUGAAGGUCUCAGGUGGGAAAAGGAGGACAGGAGAAACGGAGAUGAUCGUCUCCAGGUGGGGAAUGGACAUGAAGAUCUCAGGUGGGACAUGGAGAUGGAGAUCUCAGGUGGGCACCAAGCAGAAAUGGUUUUAGCAGAAUUUGAGAAGAUUUUGAAAUCUUUCUCAGAAUUUUCUCAGAAUUUGAGAAGAAUUUUAGAAGAACUUGAGAACAUUUUGAGAAGAUCUUUCUCAGAAUUGGAGAAGAUUUUGAGAAGAAUUUGGGAAAAAUUUGAAAAUAUUUUGAGAAGAAUUUGAGAAGAAUUUGAGGAGAAUUGAGAAGAAUUUGAGAAGAUUUUGAGAAGAAUUUUCUCAGAAUUUUCUCACAAUUUCAGAAGAUUUUGAGAAGAAUUCGAGAAGAUUUUGAGAAGAAUUUUCUCAGAACUUGAGAAGAUUUUGAGAUGAAUUUGAGAUGAAUUUGAGCGGAAUUUGAGGAAUUUUGAGAUGAAUUUUCUCAGAACUUGAGAAGAAUUUGAGAAGAUUUUGAGAAGACCUUUCUCAGAAAUUGAGAAGAUUUUGCGAGGGAUUUGAGCAGAAUUUGAGAAGAUUUUGAGAAGAUCUUUCUCAGUAUUUGAGACGAAUUUGAGCAGAAUUUGAGGAAUUUUGAGCAAAAUUUGAGAAGAUUUUGAGAAGAAUUUGAGAACAUUGUGAGAUCUUUCUCAGAAUUUUCUCAGAACUUGAGAAGAUU
rnacentral:lncRNA from 1 species